ensembl:lncRNA
CCAAGGCAUUUCCACUUCCUUCUGAUUUUUCUGAUUAAUUAAGUGUAUCUUAGAAACUGAAGUGACCAGUCUCAUUCCUUUAUUGCUCUCAGGCAAAAAGAGAAGAAGGAGGAGAUAAAAAGAAAAUACAAAAAACCCUGAGCAUUUCUGCAGUCCAAAGAGGAUAUUCCUAUUAGCAUGUCAUGGAAUUUAAAUCUCUAAACAUUCUAGAAGGAAAAAAUACAACAGCCAUCAAAACCCUACAAUACUGAAGAAAAAAUAUAGAGCCACCAGAAGCAAGGUAUCCCACAUAUUAAUCUUGCAAUCUUGCAACUGUGCUGUUUCCACAGAAAGUAUGUUACAGCUUAAACUUCAGGAUCUCAAAGCAAUGAAUGGAAGUGAACAGAAGUGGCGCUGUGUUGAAGCAUCCUAUUCAAGACUGAUUACAGGCUAUGCUAUGGAAAUUCUUACAUCAUCAAGUAUAAGAAAGAAGGAAAAUGCAGUUUCCACCAUGUUAAAUCUAUAUAAAAUACAUUCUCAAAAAGAAAAUCAAGGAGAACUGAAACAAACUAAAAAAAAACACCAAAAUGUUAAUGGGAUGAAGCGCUGA